GGGCUAACGCCCCUGUCCUUUCUGGUUAGAGACGGGCGCUUCACACUGGCGUCCAGAGUCAGAAACUUCUACGCCGUCGGUCUUCUUCGAAUGCUGACAGCUCUCGAAAUCACCAUGGAAACUGUGAGAUAUCGCGAGAAGUCAGAGCGGGAGGACGACUUACCCACAACAUACUGCAAAAAUUUAUUCCUGAAGGAUAGAAAAGGAAGUUUUUAUUUGGUAAUUUACAAAGAAGACUCAAUACUGGAUCUAAAACUUUUGAAGAAACAAGUUAAGGCUUAUCGUAAUUUUACGUUUGCAAGCCACGCAGAACUGAAAACUAUAAUGAAAGUCAAUUGUGUCACCCCGUUUUCCUUAGUUUAUUUGUCGACGGCGAAAGUCCAAAUUGUUAUAGCCAAGAGUCUACUUCAAGAAACUUCUAUAAACUUUCAUCCUCUAGACGGCCGAUUUACGACCAGAAUUUCUUUCGAUGACCUUGAAUUAUUUCUGAAAUCCUUGGGAAGAUAUAGAGAUGUUCAAUUCGUAGACAUAUGAGAUUUGUUGAAAUUAAACUCUGUCAAUAAAUUAUAUGCUAUAAAC
rnacentral:misc_RNA from 1 species